UACGGGGGGGGUAAGCGUUGUUCGGAAUUACUGGGCGUAAAGGGCGCGUAGGCGGCCUGCUAAGUCGAACGUGAAAUCCCUGGGCUCAACCCAGGAACUGCGUCCGAUACUGGUUGGCUUGAAUCCGGGAGAGGGAUGUGGAAUUCCAGGUGUAGCGGUGAAAUGCGUAGAUAUCUGGAGGAACACCGGUGGCGAAGGCGACAUCCUGGACCGGCAUUGACGCUGAGGCGCGAAAGCCAGGGGAGCAAACGGG
rnacentral:rRNA from 1 species